GCAUUUCCCAGCGUGCAAACACGCGCUUUCGGCGCGCGCUUCCCAACUAAAUUACAACAAAAACAAAGAAAAUUUAUUCCCAGAAACAACAAUUAAAAACAUUAAAUA